rnacentral:rRNA from 1 species
CAACGGAUCUCUUGGCUCUCGCAUCGAUGAAGAACGCAGCGAAAUGCGAUAAGUAAUGUGAAUUGCAGAAUUCAGUGAAUCAUCGAAUCUUUGAACGCACCUUGCGCUCCUUGGUAUUCCGAGGAGCAUGCCUGUUUGAGUGUCAUUA